ACCAAUUUUAAUGAGAAAUUAAGAGCAAAAGGUUUACAAGUGAUGGAAGAACACUUGUGAAUUCUUCCAAGUCACUUGCUUAAUGGCCAUUUACAAAUACUUUUGCAAAACAAAUGACUUGAAACAACAAGGAAGUGAGAAGGAAAUGAUGUGUGCAGCUUUGGUUGCUCUCAAAAGGUAUUGAAUCAAUGGUGAUUCACGCAAUUCUCUCAGCUGCUGGUGUGAAACUCUUCUACCGUGACAACCAGCACUUGCAGAACCAAAAUCUGCUGCAAUGAAAUUAUGCAGUCCGUACACAAUCUUUGUUGUACUAGAAAACACCUUCAAAUUGAACUUUACUUGCUCCAAUCUUCUUCCUAGGAUGCUACCAAUGUUAAGGCACAACCUGAGCUAAUUUCUGCACCAAAAGAGAGCUCAAACAAACCACCACAAGUCACUAAGGAAACCAGAAAUUGAUCCGGUUGCUGCACAAAAACUAUCAAAGCAAAUUGCACUACUGUACUUUUGUCAAACAGCUUAUGUUCAAAUUGUUUUUAAUCAAUAAAAGCAAGCAAUUAAAGGUUUCCAAAGAAAGGUGGCACGCAAAAGGAGCUUAAGAAAGGCUCUAGAUUAGAUUCAGGAAGCAAGAAAAUCAAAACAUGCUGCAACUACUCAAAAUUCAUUGAUUUCACAUAAUUGGCAAAACUGUUUGAUGAAAGAUCUCAAAGAAAACAGUGUUUAUGGCACAAAAACUGGUUCUAGUGCAGUGAUUUUUUUCAAAAUUGGAUUGUACUGGUCCAUAUGCUUUUUUCAAACUUAUUUAAUGAUGAUUUGAAGUAUGUUUAACCAGUAAUGACACCAAGCUUUUGCUACAAUCCAUAUGCAACUNGUUAUAUGCACCAAAANAGAUUCAGAGUUUUGUUUUCAGNAGCUGAUAUGCCAAGAACAUAANCUGAACAUGGCUGGUUUGAGAGGCCUUUUUGUAUAGGGAUGUUUUGACACCUAAUUUGAUUAAUGGAACAACUUUGUAUGCAUGUUUUGAAGGUGUCCAAACUGUCAAACAACAAGGAGAAAGACCACAGCCGAAAAUCACUGGUCCACUUACUAAAAAUAAAACAAUUUCAAUGACUGAAGAUUGAUUUUGCAGUUUUGAUGUAAAAGUGACCAAAUAAACAGUAUAUGCAAGUUUUAACUGACCAAAGACACUUGAUGGACCAUUGAAAAUGCACAGGAAAUCAUGAAAUCUCAAAAUCAGUGUAUCAGUUGCCAAUUAAGCAAAAGAAUGUAUAAAACUGCAGCAGUUUGAAAAGAAAAAUUGACUAAAACUGGUGGUUCAGAUUUUGACUUAUGCAGAGUUGCUAUAAACCAAAUUUGCUUUGCAUAGCCAAGUUUAAAUUGUNCAAUCAAACUUGAUAAUACAAAAUUUGAAUGCAGAACCCAAUAUAUGCAGAUUUUGACUAGUUCAAACCGGUUAUGCAGCAAAAACCAUCAAUUAACCAACCAAAUUCAGUUUUCUAUGGAAUCAAAGUUGUACAAAGUUGUACAGAUCAAACAAGUGAUAGAAAGACAAAGGAUCCUAAUUCUAGAUCUAACUUCAGAAAUUGAGUUAGAAGAAAAUUUUGGAUCUAGAACAACACAAAGAACACAGCACGGUGCAUAGCUGAAUCAAUACACUUUCAAACCAGAUUUUGAUUAACUCACUACACAUUUUUGCAAAUACGCGUAUUGAUUGCAAGCAUUUGAGACUCAUUUAAUAUCAUUAAACGAACUUGCUCAUAGUUUGAAACAUCAAAAAUCUGAACAGAAACAGAAAAUAGUAAAUCAAACCAGAGGAUUCUAUUUUCUGCAGAAUUUUCAACGUGAAACCAUGUGCUUAUGCUUUUGAAGCUCAAAUGAUCAAAGCUGACUUGCUGUCUUUGCUUUUUAGAUCAACAUAUAGCUUAGCAAAGUCACUAGUCUCAAUGAAAAACGGAAGAAAAUGGGUUUGAACAGAAUCAAAAUAACAUGACAGUGAUAACACAGCAAAAUAUUUUGCACAUGACUAACAAAACUGGAAAAAUGAAAAACGGAAGCUGGAAAUGAAGAAAACUCAUGAUUGCACCGAUUAAAAUGUAAAAAAAAACACAUUGGAGAACAAGAGAAUGAACAAUAUAAUCCACUCAAAAUCAGAUGUGCAGUAGAAACUUAAUAGAACAGCGAACAUAGAAGCAAAGACAGUGCAGAAAGUUCAUGACAGUGUGGAUUUGAAAGAAAGGAAACUUAACUGGAACAACCACAACACUGUGAGCAACCUAAGCUCUGAAUACCACAUGAUAAGGAUGCUCCAGCCAGAAAUGAUGAUUUGAGAAGCAGCGGAAGUUAUGAACGUGUGAACCAGAGACAGCGUAGGAAGUGGCUUGGGUUUUGGAAGCCGUGGACAGAGUGCAACAAUGAUUUAGAUGGUGGAAGUGAGCUGUGGUGGUGGUGAAGCCUAUGGUGGUGGUGAAGCCUAGCUCAGACGGCCUUCCAUUGGAAGGAAGCUAGAUGGAGAAUGGAAAGCUCAAAUGAAGAAGUGACUUUUGGGAGAGUUUUCGGUGCUGGAAUUGGCUUCAGCAAAGUGAAAUCUCAUAUCAUUCAAAAGUGAUUUACAAGCUUAGGCUAUGAGAUUUUAUAAAUCAAUCUCAAGGCCACACGUUUCAGAUCUCAUUCCAACUAAUUAGCCAUGUGCUAAAUGUGUGUGUGACUUCUAGAAAGCUUUAUUAAACACAUGUAAAAUAUGCUAGGUGCCUAUGGAAAAGUAAACACUAAUGUCACCCCUUUUAUGAUAGGCACACCCCUCUUUAUGUAGAAUUGUCCAUUUUAC
rnacentral:lncRNA from 1 species